UACGUAGGGUCCGAGCGUUGUCCGGAAUUAUUGGGCGUAAAGGGCUCGUAGGCGGUUUGUCGCGUCGGGAGUGAAACUCAGGGCUCAACCCUGAGCGUGCUUCCGAUACGGGCAGACUAGAGGUAUGCAGGGGAGAACGGAAUUCCUGGUGUAGCGGUGGAAUGCGCAGAUAUCAGGAGGAACACCGGUGGCGAAGGCGGUUCUCUGGGCAUUACCUGACGCUGAGGAGCGAAAGCAUGGGGAGCGAACAGG
rnacentral:rRNA from 1 species